rnacentral:rRNA from 1 species
AUUGAACGCUGGCGGCAGGCCUAACACAUGCAAGUCGAGCGGAUCGGCGGACGGGUGAGUAAUGCCUAGGAAUCUGCAUGGGAGUGGGGGAUAACGUCCGGAAACGGGCGCUGAUACCACAUACUCUCAGAUGAGCCUAGGUCGGAUUAGCUAGGUGGUGGGGUAACGGCCUACAAUGGCGAAGAUCCGUAACUGGUCUGAGAGGAUGAGCAGUCACACUGGAACGGAGACACGGUCCAGACUCCUACGGGAGGCAGCAGUGGGGAAUAUUGGACAAUGGGCGAAAGCCUGAUCCAGCCAUGCCGCGUGUGUGAAGAAGGUCUUCGGAUUGUAAAGCACUUUAAGUUGGGAGGCGUUACCAACAGAAUAAGCACCGGCUAACUUCGUGCCAGCAGCCGCGGUAAUUC